GGGCCUGUAGUGUAGCUUGGACAUCACAGGGGCCUCCGGAGCCCCGAACUCGGGUUCGAAAGGCGAACAGCCGCUGUUCCCCGAACAUCCCGACGGGCCCG
rnacentral:tRNA from 1 species